rnacentral:rRNA from 1 species
CGUUUCCUACGGGAGGCAGCAGUGAGGAAUAUUGGUCAAUGGGCGAGAGCCUGAACCAGCCAAGUCGCGUGAGGGAAGACGGUCCUAUGGAUUGUAAACCUCUUUUGCCGGGGAUCAAAAAGCGGUACGUGUACCGCAUCGAGAGUACCCGGAGAAAAAGCAUCGGCUAACUCCGUGCCAGCAGCCGCGGUAAUACGGAGGAUGCGAGCGUUCUCCGGAUUUAUUGGGUUUAAAGGGUGCGCAGGCGGCGCGUUAAGUCAGCGGUAAAAUUUCGGGGCUCAACCCCUACGAGCCUUUGAAACUGG